rnacentral:rRNA from 1 species
UAUGUGAUCGUCUCUCGCAUAUCAAUAAGCGGAGGAAAAGAAACUAACAAGGAUUCCCCUAGUAACGGCGAGUGAGGCGGGAAGAGCUCAAAUUUGAAAUCUUAAAGGGUUUCCCUUUACGAAUUGUAGUUUAAAGAAGUGUUUUCUGUUGAGGUUUUGGUAAAAGUUCUUUGGAAUAGGACAUCAUAGAGGGUGAGAAUCCCGUAUUUGACCUUUACUUUCAACUUUGUGAUACACUUUCAAAGAGUCGGAUUGUUUGGGAAUGCAGUCCAAAAUGGGUGGUAAAUUUCAUCUAAAGCUAAAUAUUGGCGAGAGACCGAUAGCGAACAAGUACCGUGAGGGAAAGAUGAAAAGAACUUUGAAAAGAGAGUUAAACAGUACGUGAAAUUGUCAAAAGGGAAGCGUUUGACACCAGUGUUGUUUUUCUGAAAAUCAAUUAAAGAACUGUUUAUGCUAAGCUGUUUAGACUUUAUCAGCUAUCUGUUUAGUUUUAGGCUUUUCUUUAAUGCACUUUUCAGUUAACAAGUCAACAUCAAUUUCUUUUGCUGUAAAAAAGCUUGAGGAAGGUGGCCUGAGAUUCGUCUUAAGUGUUUAUAGCCUCUUGCCUAUGCAGUCGGAGAGAUUGAGGUCUGCAGCGUAGAUCCUUCGGGGCUAAAUGCAUUUGUGCUAAGUUAUAGCAUUUUAUAGACAACUUGUUGACUAUGAUUUGUCUUGUAGCUUACUCGCUUAUGUUAUUUUACCUACGCUUAGGAUGUUGAUCUACAGAGCGAGAGU